rnacentral:misc_RNA from 1 species
AAGUCGUAACAAGGUUUCCGUAGGUGAACCUGCGGAAGGAUCAUUAACACGUAUCCAAACGUUAAAACCCCCCCCGUGAACCUUCAUCCUGCUCUUGUAACCCGCGAGUUAGCGCUUCUACGAUUCCUGUAGACCGUACACUCGGGCAGGAGCUUUGCCAAAGGGUCCCCAUGCCCCCUAAUAUCCCCACAGUUUAAUGUGAAGCUCAAUGUAAUACAUUGGGUAAAAAAACCGAACAACUGUUAACAAUGGAUAUCUUGGUUCUC